GCUUUUGUUUUAAACUGUUUAAAAUCUGAAAGUUUGGUAAUUUUAACAAACCUUCUUAUCCUGUCAUUUCGUUAAAAUUCAGAUUUGCUGCAAUUUUCUGUCAAGAUUCUAUCCAUUAUGCAUUUGUUUUUUGAAUUACCUCUGUUUAGACAGAUUGAUAACAUUCACCAGGUGUUCUCAAGAAACAUUGCUGGAUAAAGCUGACAGAUUAGGAUUUGCAAAAUCUGGAGCUAGGAGUUUAGCCGUUGCAGAUGAUAACGGUUUUGAGUAUGAUGAUGUUAUUGUAUAUAAGGGCCAAUUCUAUGUGAUUGAUACAUUGGGAAACGUUUCGUGGAUCGAUAAUUCGUCAUUGAAGUUGGUUCCAUUUUUGCCUCCGCUAUGUGGGUUGGGUAGCCAGAAGCACUUGGUGGAGUCAUGUGGAGCUCUCUAUGUUGUUGAUAGAUACUUUAAUAAAGAAAGGAGGAGGGUAGAACAUACCAACCGGUAUGUUAGACUGUGAUGGUCCCAAAGUGGUUGAUUUCAAAGUGUAUAAGCUGGAUGAAGAAUGGGGUCGAUGGGAGUUGGAAAAAAGCUUAGGUGAUUGAGGUUUAGUUUUGGGUAAUAAUUGUUGUUUAUCGAUUUUGGCUGAAGAGUUUACUGGGUAUAAAAGGAAUUGCAUUUUCUUCAAUGAUCAAAAUGAAACUCAUGUUUUCAACUUGGAAGAUAGAAGCUUUGGAGAUUUACAGAAUAUCUAUCCAUCCUGGCUUCUCUCAAAUUUGCUUUAGGCCUAUGUAAGAUAGUACAGUUCCAAUAACUUUCUUUUUGGGGACCUGAAUUUGAAGCAAAGAAAUAGAAAGAGAAUGUGUAAUGCAACUGUUAGAGAGAAAAGGGUAAGAGAUAUACUGUUUUCUACCAGAGAUGAUUGCUAGAGAUUAGUAAGUGUAAGAGAUAUAUUGUUUUCCUAUAUUUUCCUUGCAGAUGGAUCGAGUUUAUCUUAGUUCUCCUAAUGUGAUUGCAGUCCUUGAUGUAUUCAUAAAUCAGAAUUAUGGGUUUAUAUCCAUUGGUUCACGUGCACCAACAUAUAAAUGGUCCUCAUUAUGAUGUUGUUUGGUCUUACUGUGUUCUUUUCCUUAUUACGGUGGUCUGGAAUCCAUGAGAUAAGAAAUCAAAAUCAAUGGUAGAUUUCGGUGAUGAGUACAAACAGAUGCUUUGUGUUGAUGGAGCAGCAGUUGAGAAACCUAUCACUUUGAAGCCAGAGGAGGAAUGGACAGGGCGAUUGCAGCUCUCAGUUUUGCCUUCGAGUUUCUGCAGCGAGUACCUCAAUUUUUAGGAGAGGUCCUUUGAGGAAUGCUACAAAAUUUCAAGAGCACAAUGUGGUUCUUUUGUUCUUUUUCUGUCCUUAUAGGAACCUUAGUUAAAUCUUAUGUAAUAUAGCUCUCAACUCUUUUUCGAUAAAAUAAUAGCUCUCAAGUUGUAGAAAUUGUGCGAUGAUACUUAAGAUGGACUUGGUACUUCGUAAUACCUCAGACUAUAGAGGAUAGAGGAUUGUGGGGAAAGCCGCAUUUUUAAUUGAAUGGCUGCCCUAGGAAAGUAGGUACCAAACCAAUUAUUCCUUCUAUAAUAUCACUAUCUUAUUCCUUUCUCUUU